rnacentral:rRNA from 1 species
UGUGCAGGAUAGGUGGUGGGCUUUGAAGCGUGGACGCCAGUCUGCGUGGAGCCUCCCUUGAGAUACCACCCUUGUUCUGCUUGAUGUCUAACCGCGGUCCGUUAUCCGGAUCCGGGACCCUGUGUGGUGGGUAGUUUGACUGGGGCGGUCGCCUCCUAAAUCGUAACGGAGGCGCGCGAAGGUUGGCUCAGAGCGGUCGGAAAUCGCUCGUUGAGUGCAAUGGCAGAAGCCAGCCUGACUGCAAGACUGACAAGUCGAGCAGAGUCGAAAGACGGCCAUAGUGAUCCGGUGGUCCCAAGUGGGAGGGCCAUCGCUCAACGGAUAAAAGGUACGCCGGGGAUAACAGGCU